UUUUUUAGGCUGAUAAUGAGGGCUCCAAAGUAGCCAUCUGUUAUUUUGUUCCAUUAUCCUAAUUGCUUGCCUCUUAGGAUCUGGCUUAGAUUAAGAGGUCCUUAGUAGUUUUCAAAACUGAAUAAUAUACUUACAAAAAAUUAAAAAAAAAAAAGUAACCAAACUCAACAUCAUCUAGAAAUAAGGCCAGGUAAAUAUGGGGGUUGGGGGUGAGGAGGAGGGACAGCAAGUAUACCCUGUUUGCCCUCUUGGGAGAGGGUUAGGGGAAACUACUCAGUUGCUAGCACAAUAUCCCGCCCCCCACCCCCACCCCUCACCAAGGAAAGGUGGUUUACAGCAUGGCUGUUCCGAUGAGUGAAUGAGAGGGGAAGGUAGGAGGGUGGCCUGAGAGUGCAGGCUGCAGAGCCCUUUGUGGCCCUCACUCUCUCUUGGCUGAUAGUUGAAAUCCGGUUGGUGCUGAGGAGUGGCGCCUCUUCACCUAAUCCGAGGCAGUCCAGGGCGUGGGCCCAGGAUUGCCCUCUGCCUUUUGAAACACCCUCCCUGGUUCCUGCUUCAGAGACCAAGAGAGAGGCCACAGGAGGCCAGGCAGCUGACUCACGCUUCAGUUGGAACUGGUGCUAAAAGGUUUCAAUUAAUGGCAAUCAAUGCCUUCACCUCUAGUGGGCUGCCUUGUGGGGAAGUUUAGUGAAAGUGUUGAAGGGUGUUGUCUUAUAGUCUAGGUGCUGUUAAACUCCCGAGGUGCAGUUAAGGAGGUCAGUUAAAAUGCAGGCUUGCCCUCUCAAAAUGUCCUUUUAAUCAGCUGGCAGGGGAGCAGGGCCAAGCCUGGAUUCCAGUUCAAGCCUUUUGGGGGGCAGUUCUGCCACUUAAACAUACACCCUAAUUAUGGCAGACUUUGGCCAGACAGCGCCCUUUUUCAGAGUUAACUGAGUGAGUAGUACAAGUUGUCUGGCAGUGCUGCCUAGCAGAUGACAGCAAAGAGAAUGGAGCCAAAAAAGAAUUGAUUUGGGAAGGCCCAAGGAAUUUCUGAGACUGAGAUGAACACUUUAGGUUUUUGCUGUACUGAUUUAUAGUGUGCUGGGAAAUGUACAAGCUUUUGACCAGAUUUUAAAGUUGUUCUUUAGAAAACCAUUUUGCUGCUGCUUUCAUUUUUUUUUUUUUCCGGGUGGGGGGGUGUGAGCAAAAAUAAUCAGUGAACAGCUGUUUGCUCUGCUAUCACUCGCUCAUUCAAGUUUUCUGAAUAGCUGAAAUAUCAACAUGUUUAUCUCUUCCCUGGUAUUACAUUUUCUAGAUCAAUGUGUUAUGCUCUAGCUUUAUCCUUGUUUCCUUAAUUUAGUGAUGUCCAUGUUCUCGUCAUUCACACUGAGUUCCCUCCCCUCAGUUUCCUUCCGUUGCCUUUAUAUAUGUAUUUAUUGUAUAGAAUAACAAAAGCUCUCAUGUUACCUCGUUUAAGUUUUUCCCCCCUUUUCUUUUUUCAUGGAAAUAGGAGACAAUGAUAGCAAGUUGGUAAUUCGGUGGUGGUGGUAACUGAAACAGUGACCUAUUUAAGGGUAGACGGAAGUUUCUACUUGAGCAGAUACACAUUCUAUUAUCCAUGGAGGUUUGAAAGAAGUCUUUAUGCCAAGGGUUGUUUGAGAGCUCAAGAUUAAACUCCUUUCAGAUGAGUUUAAACUUCGAAACAUCAAAGUGGAAUAAGGAAACUUAGUUUUACAGUGUUGGCAAUCACACCAGAAUUUGUUAUAAAGUAUCUGCAAGUGGCACAAGUAACACGUUUCUUCAAGAAGGUUUAUGCAUUACAUUUUAGUUUCUAUCCCAGGUAUCAAGGAGUGCAAGGUUCAGUGAAUCAAAGAGAAACAUAGUCAUUUUGAAUUCCAGCCUCUGUUGAAAGAGUAAUCUUUUUUUGUUGGGGGAGGUGCUGGUCGUGAACCAACUGGCAGCUGGCUGGGUGGGGUGGGAUGCUACACCUCCAGAAAAUGAAGUCUUUGCACUUAUUUAACUAGCAAAAGUGUCCUUACAUUAGUGCUUGGGAAGUUUUAUCCAAAUAGUGGUCUCCCUGGGAUUAUAAAAAUCCCCGAGACAUCUGUCUUGGUGUUGUGCCUUUUUUGGUUGUGUUCUUUCACGUCCCGCCCCCUCCCUCUUAAACAACAGAUGCAUUAACUUGGAAUGUUCAUGGAAAAUCUGUAAAAGCUAGUUGGUAUAACUUGGUUGUCUUUCCUUUCAUUUCAGCAGCACUUUCUCCGGAAGAGGUGGCCUUUUCUUAGACUGAUUUACUGAAGUGUUAUCUAAGAGAGAGUGAGUUGAAUUUAUGUGAGAUUUGCUAUUUGCCACCUGUUGCUGUGCUGAUUCCUACCUUCCCAGGAUCAGCUCCAUCCCCCAAAGAGUGAGGGACCAUCCUGUGUUUCUAGAAGCGGAACUAUCAACAUGGGCAGAAGUUGUUGGAAGUGGCGGUUGCUACUUGGUAGAACUCGAUGAAGUCAUCUUGGGAAAUAUUGUUGGCAGUGUUGAAAUGAUUGAAGGGGAUGGUAGAACACCAGCAACACAAUUAACGUUUGUGUCUCUUGCUUCAGACAGGAAUAAAGAUGACAUUGUGGUUUGUUUUAUGCUUUUUAAAGUUUUCCCCCCAAAGGUGUGGGGUUGAGUGAUGUCUAUCACUGGCUUUCUAGUGGGUUUUUCUUUUCAUCUUUUGCCCCCUCCCUGAUGCUAAGAGUGGGUGGAAGCCACAGCCUAGGUAUAGAUGGGAGGCAGGGCAGGAGGGAGGCUGUAUGCCUUACCCCUUGGUCCUGAUGUCUGAGGGUGACAUACUUGGUUUUUUAAUCUCAAAAAAAAAAAAAAAAAAGAGACUCCAUAUCUUACCUCCUGA